rnacentral:rRNA from 1 species
GCAAAACGCGAAGAACCUUACCAAGGCUUGACAUGCAUCUCUAAGCGCGUGAAAGCGCGUGACCCUUCGGGGGAUUUGCACAGGUGCUGCAUGGCCGUCGUCAGCUCGUGUCGUGAGAUGUUGGGUUAAGUCCCGCAACGAGCGCAACCCUUGUGACUAGUUGCCAGCACGUUAUGGUGGGAACUCUAGUCAGACUGCCCAGAUCAACUGGGAGGAAGGUGGGGACGACGUCAGGUCAGUAUGGCCCUUACGCCUUGGGCUGCACACGUACUACAAUGCCCAGUACAAUGAGAACCGAGACCGCGAGGUGGAGGAAAUCUAAAAAACUGGGCCCAGUUCGGAUUGGAGUCUGCAACUCGACUCCAUGAAGUCGGAAUCGCUAGUAAUCGCGGAUCAGAAUGCCGCGGUGAAUACGUUCCC